rnacentral:rRNA from 1 species
GAUGAACGCUGGCGGCGUGCCUAACACAUGCAAGUCGAACGGACGAGAAGAGCUUGCUCUUCGAGUUAGUGGCGGACGGGUGAGUAACGCGUGAGCAAUCUGCCUUUCAGAGGGGGAUAACAUUGGGAAACCGGUGCUAAUACCGCAUGAUGUGCGAGGGUCGCAUGACUCUUGUACCAAAGGAGCAAUCCGCUGAAAGAUGAGCUCGCGUCUGAUUAGCUAGUUGGUGAGGUAACGGCCCACCAAGGCGACGAUCAGUAGCCGGACUGAGAGGUUGAACGGCCACAUUGGAACUGAGAUACGGUCCAGACUCCUACGGGAGGCAGCAGUGGGGAAUAUUGGGCAAUGGGCGCAAGCCUGACCCAGCAACGCCGUGUGAAGGAAGAAGGUCUUCGGAUUGUAAACCUUAGUCAACAGGGAAGAAGCAAGUGACGGUACCUGUGGAGGAAGCCACGGCUAACUACGUG